rnacentral:rRNA from 1 species
CACGUAGGGUGCGAGCGUUGUCCGGAAUUAUUGGGCGUAAAGAGCUCGUAGGCGGUGUGUCGCGUCGGUCGUGAAAACUUGCAGCUUAACUGUGGGCGUGCGGUCGAUACGGGCAUCACUGGAGUUCGGCAGGGGAGACUGGAAUUCCUGGUGUAGCGGUGAAAUGCGCAGAUAUCAGGAGGAACACCGGUGGCGAAGGCGGGUCUCUGGGCCGAUACUGACGCUGAGGAGCGAAAGCGUGGGGAGCGAACAGG